AGAGCGAACGCUGGCGGCAUGCUUAACACAUGCAAGUCGCACGGGUUCGGGGGCAACCCCGGGUCAGUGGCGGACGGGUGAGGAGCGCGUAGGAACCUGUCUUGUGGUGGGGGACAACCCUGGGAAACUGGGGCUAAUACCGCAUAUGUCCUGAGGGACAAAGCCGGGGUGACCUGGCGCCAUGGGAGGGGCCUGCGUCCGAUUAGCUUGUUGGUGGGGUAACGCCUACCAAGGCGUCGAUCGGUAGCCGGUCUGAGAGGGAUGGGCCGACGACGACUGGACUGAGACACGGCCAGACUCCUACGGGAGGCAGCAGUGGGGAAUAGUUGGGCAAGUGGGCGCAAGCCUGGACCCAGCAAGUCGCCGCGUGGGUCGAAAGAGGGCCUUCGGGUACGUAAACGGCCCGUUUCGGCGGGACGAGUGAGU
rnacentral:rRNA from 1 species